AUUGAACGCUGGCGGCAGGCCUAACACAUGCAAGUCGAACGAGUGGCGGACGGGUGAGUAAUGUCUGGGAAACUGCCUGAUGGAGGGGGAUAACUACUGGAAACGGUAGCUAAUACCGCAUACCAUCAGAUAUGCCCAGAUGGGAUUAGCUUGUUGGUGGGGUAACCGCGUACCAAGGCUACGAUCCCUAGCUGGUCUUAGAGGAUGACCAGCCACAUUGGUACGGAGACACGGUCCAGACUCCUCCGGUAGGCAGCAGUGGGGAAUAUUGCACAAUGGGCGCAAGCCGUAUGCAGCCAUGCCGCGUGUAUGAAGAAGGCCUUCGGGUUGUAAAGUACUUUCAGUGGGGAGGCGUUACCCGCAGAAGAAGCACCGGCUAACUCCGUGCCAGCAGCCGCGGUAAUAC
rnacentral:rRNA from 1 species